rnacentral:rRNA from 1 species
UUGAACGCUGGCGGCAUGCCUUACACAUGCACGUCGAACGGCAGCACGGGUGCUUGCACCUGGUGGCGAGUGGCGAACGGGUGAGUAAUACAUCGGAACAUGUCCUGUAGUGGGGGAUAGCCCGGCGAAAGCCGGAUUAAUACCGCAUACGAUCUACGGAUGAAAGCGGGGGACCUUCGGGCCUCGCGCUAUAGGGUUGGCCGAUGGCUGAUUAGCUAGUUGGUGGGGUAAAGGCCUACCAAGGCGACGAUCAGUAGCUGGUCUGAGAGGACGACCAGCCACACUGGGACUGAGACACGGCCCAGACUCCUACGGGAGGCAGCAGUGGGGAAUUUUGGACAAUGGGCGAAAGCCUGAUCCAGCAAUGCCGCGUGUGUGAAGAAGGCCUUCGGGUUGUAAAGCACUUUUGUCCGGAAAGAAAUCCUUGGCCCUAAGACGGUCGGGGGAUGACGGUACCGGAAGAAUAAGCACCGGCUAACUACGU